UACGUAGGGUGCAAGUCGUUCGAUCGAAUUGUGGCGUAAAGCGCGUGUAGGCGGCCACGCAGGUCCGCUGUGAAAACUCGAGGCUCAACCUCGAGCCUGUCGGUGGAAACCGCGUGGCUAGAGUCCGGAAGAGGGGACUGGAAUUCCCGGUGUAGCGGUGGAAUGCGCAGAUAUCGGGAGGAACACCCGUGGCGAAGGCGGGUCCCUGG
rnacentral:rRNA from 1 species